GCGGCCGAGGGGCGGGGGUCCGUCCCUCCCUCCACGUUUUAUUUCCCUUUGCGCUUCCUUUUUUUCUUACUCCUUCCUUUCGCUCUCGCCCUCCGGUUCGGGCUCGCUCCCCGCGUCCCUCCGCUUUUGUUACCCCUCCCUCGCUCCCUGCCGCUCCCCGCCCCCGCGUGGCACUGCGGAGCCGGAGACGUGACCCGAGCGGACUCGCUUCCCCGCAGCUCCAGCCUCUCGCCGCAGAGUCGCAUGUCCUCGAUCCAGAACCUCCAAUCCUUUGACCCCUUUGCUGAUGCAACAAAGGGCGACGACUUACUCCCGGCGGGGACUGAGGAUUACAUUCAUAUAAGGAUCCAGCAACGGAACGGAAGAAAGACACUGACAACUGUUCAGGGCAUUGCAGAUGAUUAUGACAAGAAGAAACUUGUGAAAGCUUUCAAAAAGAAAUUUGCUUGUAAUGGUACUGUGAUUGAGCAUCCUGAAUACGGUGAAGUUAUCCAACUGCAAGGUGACCAGAGGAAGAACAUUUGCCAAUUCCUCUUGGAGAUUGGCAUUGUCAAGGAAGAACAACUGAAAGUUCAUGGUUUCUAAUAUACCUGUACUCUUAUGAAGAACCCUGCAGUAUUGGUCUUACCUAUCCUGGCUCUUCUGUGAAAAAUGAAUCUUUGCAGUGAAUGGACUUCCCCAUUACCUGAACAUUUACAAUUUGAUUUGCAUGACUUCAUGAAACAGAUUUUUGAGUUCAGAAAUGAAUCCUUAAGGCACUAGCAACAAUUAGGGGAGCAUUAUGUGAUGAUUUCUUUCUCCGUCUGGUCUAGACAAUUGCACUUGUAAAAAUCUAGUCUCUCAAUCUCCACAAAUACUGCCUGAUGUUACAGAUCUUAACUGUUCCACAGAAAGGAUGCUCCAGAAGAUGGUAUACUGUUAAGGUGCAAUACAUUCAGGAGGAGGAAAUGCCUCAUGCAAAGCAUAAAAUACCCACAUACCAAAUGGAAAUCCAAAAAUAAAUCUUAUGCAAGUCUUGUAGAUGAGCAGAAUAAAGUCAUUCUAGUGCAAGUUUACCUAGUAUUGAUUCUUAACUGCUAAAGUAAUCAAUCUUUUGGGGGUACACAGCAAUUAGUGGUUUUCAUUUUAUUACAUGCCAGAAAAACUGAUGUUCUCAUUUAAAGCUUGUUCUCCUGCUCAAGAGGAAAAACAAGCAGUAUCUUCUGUUUCACUGGUAUUAUACAAGUACUUCUAGUGGGCUCAGAACUGAAGAUUAACAAAUGACUCGCAGGUCUCGUGUUACUGAGUCAGUCUCCAUUUCAGAUGGCAUUCCAUUAACUUUUACUACCUAAGCUUGAGUCAUUUCUCCACAGUCAUUCUGCUUGAAACAAAUAAGAAAAAUCUUUGAUUUUCUUCCUCCUCAUUUAAAAAUCCUUUCUAUGGAAGGAACCUUGCAGUUGAUAGGUGGGUUGGGUGGAGAUGCUCAUGUUUUGACCUUUGAAGGGCAAAAUUAUAAGGAGAUGGAAUAAGACGUAACACAUUUGAAGUUUUAAAGAGGUGAGAUUUGUUGUGGCAACAAACCAGUUGAUCUUUCUAGAAGGAAAGCAGAAAUUUUUGUCCAUGGGUGUUUUAAACUGAAACAGUGUUUCUAAGACUGUAAUUAGCCUUGGUACAAGCCCAAACCUCUUUGUAUGUUCUAGUUGAAAAGCUUCGACAAUAUAAUGUUUUGUCAUCUUACUCUGAAACUUCUUUGUCAAAGCUAAACUUAUUUGGAAUACAUUUCUGUGUUUUAAAAAUGCUGAAAAUGAAGGCUUUGGAAAAGGACUUGUUAAAAUGCUGCCACAGAAAUCUGUUUUCAGAAUGAAGGCACGUUUCAAUCUUUUCAUCUAUUUGAAAAUAGGUUUAAAAAUGUUGAAGCAUGUGGCCCACAAUUGCCAAGGCAGUAAAAAUGAGCUUAUGAUAGAAAACUCUUUUGAAGUCCACUAGUAGGACUUGAGGCUGGCCAAGCUCAGCCUGCAAAAAAUGAAGGCUUUUUGUUGGAAUGUUGUGAAGUGUGCGUUCUUCAGACCUACCAACCAAGAUUGCCUUCUUAGUGAUACUUAGGCUUCAUCUCAAGGUGUUACUGGAUGUAGAAACUUGUUUUGAAUUCACAGCCUUGUGCAUAGUUUCAUUAGGCUGUUCUAGCUGACUCUGAGCCGAUACCUUGGAGUGAGGUGUUGCAUAAAUAAAUUCACUAAUUUGUCUGUUCUGAGUCUGCAUCUACAUAAUGCAGCUAUGAGCCCAAAUGCCACUGGCAGUUCUUGUUUGUAGAAUAUGAGAUUUAGUAAUUUAAGUUUGUAAAAUGCCUACUUCCUCUCCCUGUGUGAGCUGUCAGGCCCUUGACUGUCACCUAUGGUGUACUAAAUCUGGCUGUGUCUCAGAGAUGAGCAUGAGGAGCACAACUAUGGGCAGAUAAUUCUUGAGUGGAGUAACCUCUGAAAAGAGGAAGGCCUGGGCUGUGUGUGCAUGCUAUUCAUUGCUUCAGUGGCUUUGCUUGAACCUUUAUUCCUGAACUCCAUUUCUGCACAGCCUAAAUGAGUAAUGUUUUGUUUUGGAGAGCUUCUUUGGAGGAGGAGGAGGGAGCUAGUAAAAAAAGCUGUCUUAGGAAAUAUGUUUAUAUCUGAAGUUUGUUUUCAUUAACUUAGAUUCCUGGACUGCAAGAGCUCUGUAACAUUGUUGUUUCUCUCUGUAUCUUUAAAAAUCCUAAUUAAAUGUCCUUGGAAUCUGACUUUUAAGGCUCUAAAUACAUCUAAAGCCAUUAUAAAACUCUAAAAUGCAAAGUCAUUGAAGCUUAAGUUUCAAAUAUUUGAAAUAACAAUUAGGCAGAACUCAUUUUUUCCUACACUGCCAUCCUGCUUAUACUUGGUUUGUAGUUGCCCUGAAGAUGCAUGUGUUAUUUACAGCCAGGCAGUAAUCAGAUAUCCCUGCUGUAAUGCCAUACCCUGUUUGUAGGUUUUUUAAAUUUUAUCUGAUGUGCUGCACUCUUACAGGCUGUACCACUCUAAUUUUGCAGUAUAGGACAGAUGUACCUGUACUGACAGAGUUCCAGUCAGCAAUUAAUUCCUUAAUCCUUCUGCAAGGCUCUAGUGUACAGGAUCCAUGUGUUACAUCUUUAAGUGUUCAGUAGUUCCUCACACUAUGUGAAAAUGUAUACAAAAUCAAAAUUUAGCCUGUUUAAGGAGGGGGAGGUGUUUUCUACAGCUGACUCUGAGACACAGUAAGAGUUACUGUCCCUUGUAUCUGUUCAGUGUUGAUCAGUGUCACUGAGCAUUCCUCUAACUAAUGUGCUGCUGCCACUGGGGAGAUGGAAGUGGGCUUAGAGCGUUGUGUGUAUUUAAGCACUAUGACUUUCUGCAUCCAUACUCAGUCAGGAAUCUGUCCCCUGAGCAUGGCAACAUGAAGGUUGUUUUGCAGUUGCCAGAUCAAAAGCUCUUGAGAUCAUUAAGAGAAAAAUGGCAUAGUUGUUUUAUGUUUGCUGUAUAGAUGUUUCAUGCCUACUGUUUCCCAUUUAGAUUAAAAAUACAAAAAUAAUCUCAAAAGAGGAUUUGUACUUUGCUUGCCUUUUUUUAUGUUUGCUAUGUGCCUGUUAUUGAUCUCUUAAUGAAAAAGUCUUAACCUGUAUUGCAGUAUUGCUACAGAGCUGAGACAACAAAGUCUUUUAAAAUAAAGUGUUCCAGUGUUAUUUGAUGUA